rnacentral:lncRNA from 1 species
CGUUAGGUGAAUUUCAUGGAAUGGUUCCCGAUGUUUGAAAUAGUUGAUCAAUUACAGUGCUCAGGACCAUAGUGCUUCCAUUUCCCUUAUGCCUCAAGGAAUUAAGCGUCAAUAUAGAAGAACACAAAAUUUUCACUCUAAACAAGUUUCGAAGCACCUAAUUAAGCUACCAUCCUUCCUCAAUUUUGAUGACCCAGAGAUCUCUGUUAUGUAAAUUGUCUCUCCAAAAUAUUCUUCCUUUCCUUUGUAGAAGAUAGCAUAUUUUUGGACACUCAAUUCUAUUCACUAUCCCUUGAGGGAAGACAAUACAAAGAGUACGGGUAUACUAGAAAGAUAAGAAUGCAUGAGUACAACUGCACUACAUUAAAUGUGUUGGCAAGGUGUGAUGGUGGACUGUCUUUAUUGAAUCUGGUUGUACUGUGUGUACAUUCCUUAAGUGAACGGUGGGAACUUUACCUCUUAAGUGUUCAAUAUUGUCUGCACUAGGUUAUUUACUAAAUUGCUCAAUCUCUUCACUUUUGAUACUGCACCCGUGUCGGCAGGACUUGGUUUGAGUGUGGGAUCUAUACCGGAUUUGGUCACCCGAUUUUGGGUACUUUGACCAAAAUCGACAGAGAAAAUCGAGACAUGCUAUAAUUUUUGAAAUCAAAAGAAAAGCUAGUGUGAAUUUGAAGAAAUGGCUUGUAUAUGGAAAUUUCUAUGUUAUCUCCUUCUUGGAUUCUCCUCUUGAUCAAUAUUUUCUCCUUUCUCGGAAUGCCUUGUAAGUUUCCACAUAAUAUCUCAUUAUUUAGACAUUUUUGUAACUCUACUUUUAAAUAUUUGAAUUAAUUUUAGUCGAAUCUCCGCACCUGUAUCGGUACCUGGAUCCAUGCCCCCGAAUCUUAAGAUCGGACCUCUAGAUCCAUACCCGUAUCGGGCACCCGCACUCGAGCCCGAGCAACUUAGGUUAUUUAUAGCUGUACAUGAUUAAUUUGGAAAAGUUGAUUGCUAAAUGGUCAUGGAAAUUUUUACAGAGAAAUUGGAUUUCUUGCAGUGAACAUUCCAGUAGUGUCUUUGAAUGAUGAUGGGCGAAUAGUUGUAUCUGAGGAGACAUGCUAUAAUUUUUGAAAUCAAAAGAAAAGCUAGUGUGAAUUUGAAGAAAAUGGCUUGUAUAUGGAAAUUUCUAUGUUAUCUCCUUCUUGGAUUCUCCUCUUGAUCAAUAUUUUCUCCUUUCUCGGAAUGCCUUGUAAGUUUCCACAUAAUAUCUCAUUAUUUAGACAUUUUUGUAACUCUACUUUUAAAUAUUUGAAUUAAUUUUAGUCGAAUCUCCGCACCUGUAUCGGUACCUGGAUCCAUGCCCCCGAAUCUUAAGAUCGGACCUCUAGAUCCAUACCCGUAUCGGGCACCCGCACUCGAGCCCGAGCAACUUAGGUUAUUUAUAGCUGUACAUGAUUAAUUUGGAAAAGUUGAUUGCUAAAUGGUCAUGGAAAUUUUUACAGAGAAAUUGGAUUUCUUGCAGUGA